AGCUCCAAUAGCGUAUAUUAAAGUUGCUGCAGUUAAAAAGCUCGUAGUUGCAUUUCCGAGGCAAGGGAUUAGUCCGACCUUUGGUGGGUAUUUAAUCCUCUUGCCUCGUCCUUGAGUGGUGCUUCUUGGUAUUAAGUUAUCGAGGAGAUAGCCGCUCAUCGUUUACUGUGAGAAAAUUAGAGUGUUCAAAGCAGGCUUAUGCCGUUGAAUAUAUUAGCAUGGAAUAAUAAGAUAGGACCUCGGGACUAUUUUGUUGGUUUGAGAACCAAGGUAAUGAUGAAUAGGGACAGUUGGGGGUAUUCGUAUUCAGGUGUCAGAGGUGAAAUUCUUAGAUUUACGGAAGACGAACUACUGCGAAAGCAUUUACCAAGGAUGUUUUCA
rnacentral:rRNA from 1 species